rnacentral:lncRNA from 1 species
AACCGUUAUUGGCCGGGUCACAAGCCCGCCCGCCCGCUGCUGGAGCCGCGACCAUGGAGGAGUCUGGCAUGGCUCAUGAAUCAGCAGAGGACUUGUUUCAUUUCAACGUAGGGGGCUGGCAUUUCUCAGUUCCCAGAAGCAAACUCUCUCAGUUUCCAGACUCCCUGCUGUGGAAAGAGGCUUCAGCCUUGACCUCUUCAGAAAGCCAGAGGCUAUUUAUCGACAGAGAUGGUUCCACAUUUAGGCACGUGCACUAUUACCUCUACACCUCCAAACUCUCCUUCUCCAGUUGUGCAGAACUGAACUUGCUGUAUGAGCAAGCAUUGGGUUUGCAGCUGAUGCCUUUGCUGCAGGCCUACAUGAUAAGGCACCUCUGGGGCUCAUGGACACACCCCUGUUAGACACAGAAGAGGAGGUGCACUACUGCUUCCUGCCCCUAGACCUGGUGGCCAAAUAUCCCAGCCUAGUGACUGAAGACAACCUGCUGUGGCUGGCUGAGACGGUGGCCCUCAUCGAGUGCGAGUGCAGCGAGUUCCGCUUCAUUGGUGAUUGCUCUGUCCGGGGUGGGGUGGGGG